rnacentral:rRNA from 1 species
AUGUAUGAACCAAAGCCAUUUUCGAGCACUGGAUCAGCGCACAGCAAUCCGGUUUCUCACGAUCAACAAAUCGGACCAACUGCCAACAAUGCAGCAUCUAAUAUUGGUGGAAAUGGCUCAAACAACAGCUUUGCCACCAGACAGCGUUUACGGUGGACAGAUGAGCUUCAUGGACGUUUUCUUGAGGCUGUAGCACAGCUUGGUGGACCCGACAGGGCUACUCCUAAGGGAAUUCUUAGAACAAUGGGUGUUCAAGGGUUGACCAUUUAUCAUGUCAAAAGUCAUCUCCAGAAAUAUCGGCUUGCAAAAUACAUCCCAGACCCCACAGCUAGCGGUGACAAGCCAGAGAAGAAAGAUCUAGGAAAUCUGCUUGCAGGAAUGGAAAACUCCCCGGGAAUGGAGACAAGCGAGGUUCUAAAGUUGCAGGUGGAGGUACAGAAGCGGCUACGUGAACAAUUAGAGGUACAAAGGCAGCUACAGCUCAGAAUAGAAGCCCAAGGCAAGUAUCUCCAGAAGAUCAUGGAGGAGCAGCAGCGCCUGAGCGGUGUGCUGUGCGAAUCAGGUAAACCGAACGCGCUCGCCCUGGCUGAGGAGGAGCUCCACCAUGAUUUCAGCAAGACUGAGCCAUCGACCCCAGUGUUGACCUCGGAGCCCUCAUUCCGGGACAAGGCCGUUACUGCAAGUGGUGGUCUGGAAGGAACAGACGAGCUGCUCAAGGUUCUUUCUUCACAUGAUGACUGCCUCUCCUUGGACCAUGAGCUUUCGACCCCGGAUUCCAGUUGUGUUGCCGGUUACCUCCUAAACAGCCCCAGAGAUAGCAAGAGGGCUUGCAUCAGCAACAGCCUUGGCCACGGAAACAGCGAGUUCACACUUCCUCACAUCAUUCCGGAGUCGAGCUCGGGUUCCGAUUUGCAACUGAGAAGCUCGGUGUUCUCAUACGGCACAGGGCGAUCUGGUUCAUCGGCGGCUCUGGAUGCCAGUGAAGAU